UUAAUCAAAACCAGCCCAACUCCCUUACCCCUUCCCCUUACCUGAUCCAACAAAUAGCUGAUCAUAUCAGCCCAACAAUUCACACUGACUCGACCCACACCAUCAAUACACUCUCCUUCACUUAACAACCAAAUAAAAUAACAACAAUACGCAAUUUUCUACAGCUCCUAAAUGGCGACAAAACCAACAGUGAAAAUCCCCAUCCAAAUCAAAACCAGAACCCAUCUCGACCAUCCCCGAAUCGAACCGUAACCUGCUCGUCCAUGGUCUCAAUCAUGUUUUCCACACGAAUUCAUGUGAGAAGAACCUAGAAGCUUCUAGAAAUGGUUGAGUUGGCUCACCCCAACAUCUAAAUUCUGUGAAUUUCGGGAUUAUUGGUGCGAUUUCGUAUGUAGGUGGCUGGUUUUCAUUGGUUUGAGGCCAUUUGGUCGACUGAUUGGAGGUUCUGAGUUGAUAACGUUGGUUUUCGGUGGUGGCGCAUCUCAACGUUAGCACGUUAUCCCAUUUUGCUGCCCCAAAAGAGGUAAAUACAUUCUCGUCCUUUUUAAUUUCAUCAUUUUUCUGCUUCAUCUCGAACUUCUGUAGUUGUGAAUAAAUUUUUAGUAACAUUGUAUGCUGGGAUUGUUCGCUAAUAGAUGGCUUCGAUAGUCAUAGGUUUCAUUCAUGAUAGUUAUCGCUAUGUUGGUAUCUGAGUCAAUGUACUUGAUGUCGCUGCUUAUUACUUUUAAGGAUACGCCCUUCAUUAAAGUUCCCUAAAUCCACUAUUUCUAUCUAUGAAUGAUUACUUCUUGUGAUUUAUAGCCUGUUGUGUGGUCGGAAUGACGUUGUGGAUUAAGUUUCGAUUUAAUACUCUCAUUCUAUAUAUUGGUUAAGACUCGAAUAAGCUGGUUUUCACAAUAAUGUUCCUUGCCUUAAGUCUGUUGAAUAGUUUCAGGCUAAUGACUGGUCAUUAUAGCUAUUUUCAUAGUAAAGUUGCAUGCUUUGAUUUUGUCUAAGGCUAUUGAUAUCUAUACCUAAUUUCAUGGUUAAAGUUCUGCACUUUGAAUUUUGUUUAACAAUUGGUUUGAGGGUGUUUUGUUUGUUGUCAUUACUUGACGUCGUCUUGUUCGUCAUUAUUAGUCUGAUGCGGGGUUGAGUUUCGUUGCAAGAUAUUGUCCUUCGUAUCACCGAAGCUGUUUUCUUUCUUUUGGGAGUAGAGCAAGAUGUAGCUUAAGUUAAAUCAACAAAAUCUUUCUUUUACUGUUCAUAAAGAAAGCAUGUGAUGCCUAAACUAUGUGCUAUUUAUUAUCCUAUCAGUUUGGUACAAUUAAACCCGGGAUAGUUUAAAUGAGUUUUCUGUUGAAUGGAAAUUGUACUAUGUUGAUAUCGAUUGAACUAUUGGUUUUUAUGAUUUUGUAGGGCUCAUGUAUCGAUUGAAACUCUCUGAAUUAAUGUCAAAUUUCUAGAUUAUGUGUUGUUUUCUUGCUUUAUUAACUUGGUGUAGUUAGACAUAUGGUAGGUUAAUGAGAUUUCUUCUGCCAAAUGUAGUUCAUUUUUUUUUCUAAAUGUUUCCUUUCUUUUUAGUUUCAUGACAUUAUUAGACUGAUGAAUGCCAAAAUGCGUUUUAAUGUUCUACCAAACAUUACAUCUAGAUGGUUUCCUGCAUGUUAAACGAAAUUAAUGUUAUGUGAUACGGAUUGAGCUAUUGGUUGCCUUGUUGUAGUGUUCAUAUAUCGAUUAAGAUUAUUUUCUAAACUAUUUCUAGUUAAACUAUUUCCUAAUGCUUUUCUUCCUUCACCUUUUUCUUUGCAUGAACCCACCUUUAUUCCAAACGGACUCUAUUCCCAUUGUUGCAUAAUCAGUGUGGGCCAUUGAGGCCCAUCUCUCAUGAGUCAAUUUCAAAGGUCGUAAGGAGAUAAUCUCAUAGUGCGUGGAUAAGAGAGUCGGAAGAAGAAAAAUGAAUUAAAGUUCUAUUGUUGGAGCAAGCGAUGAGACUCAAGAUUCUCGUUCUUUUAUUUAUCUAUUUUUGUAUUGUUUAUUUAUUUAUUGUUUCUUUUAGUUAUUUAUUUCUUUGGUUAUUCUGUUUUGGGUCUCGAAGUCAACGUUGUAAACUAAUACAGGUGGAACAAAAUUCGAGCCAAAGGUUCGAAAAAACUAGAUUAGGAUAGGUGAAACGGGUCAAAGGCCCAUUUAGAUUAGGACUGGUUUUGUUGGUUUGGGCCCAAUGGCCUAAAUCAUUUACUUUCUCCUCCUUUUCCCCGUUUAUGUGUUUACUUGCUUAUUUCAUUUGUGCAGACUUAGUUAAAAUCCC